GUCAUCAUUAAAUUCGAAUGUCGUAAGAACAGUCGAAUUUUACUGUUCCCAAUUUCCACGUGAUCGAGAGAGGCAUGAAAGCGUAUGAAAGGCCAACAUGCUCAUUAACGAGCAGAAAUUUCAAAGCAAGGCACAUAUUGAAUGUAGAUAGUCAUUUUCGGAGGAAUCGAGCAUGCUUUGAAAGGUUGAUUUCUUCAAGGCUGUUUCUGCAUGUGCACACACAACCAUGAUGCUGUCACUUUUUAUUACGCAUCAAGCAUCCAAAGUGUCAUCAUUUGCAGCCCUAAAGAGAGAGAACCCCACUCGCACAUUUGAGUGUUGGAACAGAAGCCAUCUCAACUUUCUUUUCAACAAUCGUGGGGUAGACCCAAUAAGAAAAAGUGUUGAUGUCAGACUUUGGGUGGCACUUCAAGUAAAUCUCAAGUUGUGUGGAUGCGUCGCACUUUUGGCGAGUUUUGGAGAAAUAAACGAAGAAAGGUCGUCAAAAACGGAAGCUGUAGCCUUCGUGAAAAACAAGUUUCCCGCACGUCGUCGUCUGAUUUUUUAUUAGCGUCGUAAAUUUCUGAUUGAUGCCGAUUGAAGGCAUUUUUACAAUCUUGGAAAAAGGUCUAAUCAUAUACUUGGCCCGUCAGUUUUUAUCGAUGCAGUAAAAAAGGAAAAAAAGAAAGAAAAGGGGGAAAGAAAAACGUUUACGUCUGUCUCAUUAUGUAUACCCGAUAACGUACACGACGACGAAUUGUGAUCGAUUGCCGGAAACGGAUGAAUUGCUUCCAACACGAGUUGAACUGGUCCAUUAUUUCAGUGAUUGAAAGUGGAAAUGCGGAAUCAAUUGAUCGCGGACGACACUUAUUUUGUCUAUUUUUAGGAAGAGACGGGCAGAAUCUUCUUGAAAACGGAACUGGACAGUAAGUAAAUUUCAAUUUCAAAAUGACAAGAAGAUUUAUAGGCAUUUUUCGACUCCUUUUCUUUUCUGUCGUUAAAAGUUGGGUGUAAUCAGGAAUGGAAGAUUUGAGGCAAUCGGUUAAACUGUUUUGCGUUGAAAUUUCCCUAUUAUGAUUCUAUCUAGAUGAGGAGUUACCAUUAUUAGUAAAAAAAUUACCGCUAGAUGGCGGGAAAACUCAACAACAUGGUUUCAUCAAAAGGAAACCGAAGUAUGGAUUUGAAUUCCAACAUCCGAGUAGCCCAUCAGCUUCAAGUUCAUUAAACAAACUAGAUAAUUGCACCCUUGACACAGUUCCUGCUACAGAAUCAAAUAUUAAUAGGAACAGCAAUGUGGCAGCCAAGUUAGUGAAUGUAGCUGAGCUAGAGCUAGCUAAGAAGAAAACAGAAGAGUGCAAAACAAAUCUUUUGAAAAAUGGGAUUAUUCACCAUAUGUGCGAACUGAUCUCCAAGUGGUUGUUUGGGCAGCUAUGGAGAAAAGAGAGGUUGAAAUGUGUUAGCAGCUAGCAUCCUUAAAAGAAAAAGUAAUUCAUACAGGUCCACAGUAUUCAAAACAACUGGAAGCAUUAAAGACAGAAAUGAACUUCAAUGAAUUAGAAUUGGAGGUACAAGGAUUCCAGCCUCCGUCCAAGAAUCACCAAACAGAAGAAAAUUCCUCAACAUGUAUUACAUGAAAGCCAUCUUAUUUGGGAGCUAUGUUUAAUGUUGGUAAUUAUUUAGAUCCUCUUUUGAAAUGGCUAAAGACUCGACAGGCACUGAACGUAAAACUUAAAGUAUGGUCUAAAUACUUUAUUGCUGUGGCUCAAUUUGCAAUUUCCUGUGUAGGAAUGGAUAACGCUACCGAUACUGCAAUUCUAAUCGAAACAUUCUAAUUCAGCCUUCUGUCGCCCAUGUACAACAACGGUAGAUUGCUGAUUUUUUUGUUCCUCUUCAGCAGUGAACCUGGUAUAGCCGAAAUGUUAUGCAGCAACUUGAGAACUUGCAACAAGAGCGGGUCAAAGACGAAGAUAUUCUAAUGUCAAAUGGAGAACUUUUUUGUUGCUGGAUCGUCCGUAUUUUGCCCUUCGUCGAAAAUCCAAAACAAGGCCGCUUUAUUGAGGUCCUUCUUCUGAAGGAAUGUUCGUCAAAUUUGAAAUUUGACGGUCAUUUGAGCUCUCGUCGAGAGCCUUGGAUUACUUAUAAGCAUUCAUCAGCAAAAGGUGGACACUGUAACAGAAAAGCUUUAAUUUUCCCGCUUAAUAUCAAACGGCAAUAAUGACACAUAGACGGCAACACGAAGCAUUAUUAUUUUUUAUUUUUUUAGUUGAGAACUAAAACUAUUUCUGUCAAUUACGCAAUUUUUGAAUAACACUGAAUCGAAGUGUUUCUAGCGCAAAUUUCUUUUAAACUUAAAUAACUCAUAAACUAUAAAUCCCAAGUGAAAACAAACUUGAUUUUCAGCAUCCUCGUUAAGUUUUUAAUCUACAUUUUGUUUUUUAAUAGCAAUAUUAAGGUUUGUGAAAAAAUAAAUAAAUAAAGUCAUGCUUAUUCCGUCGGGCUUAAAAUUUUGACUUGGAAAUAUGUUUGCCACUAGAUGGCAGUAUUGCAUUGCUGAUAUAAACAGUGAAAUAGAGAACGAGUUGGGAGUUUUUUUUUUUUUUGAAGUGGGUGAAAUGGAGUUCUGUAAGAGAUUUGAGAACAGCAAAGGUUACCUUAGGAUUGUUUAUAGCUUUUCAAGCACUUUCCUAGAAAUGUCGGUAAGCACAAGUCGAACGUUUCUGGUUUUUCGUCCUUCUGGCUUAUAGCACAGUUUCCAGUAUGGGAUUACAUAGCCAAGCAAAGCAUAUUUACUGAGAGGCAAAACAAGAUCAACUCAAUGAUUAUACAAAAAGAACAUUGCCUGGAUGAGCAAGUUUACUGUAUCUGCUGUAGCUCAGACGGACCCACUACUGUGGUGAAUGCAUUCCUUGUUAUAUUAUGUAAAUAACUGCAACAAGUGUGACUUGAUGAAAACCAUGCCAGCUGUGUUAGUACUGAAUCUAUCUCACUUUUGGCCCCUAGGUGUCUUGUAUUAAAUUUUGUCUUUGACAGUAACAUAAGAAGAGGAAAUUGUUGGGAAACCCAUCUUGAAUGAAGCCAAAUAUUCCUAUGUUGAUGUUUGAGAGCCCAGCCUGUGAAAUAAUAAUACAACGGAACAGGAAAAGGCAAGAAGACAUUGUUCCUUUGCUACUUCUGGGGACCACCAUAACAACCAACAGCACAUCACAGUUGUACUUUUGACAUAUUGCUUCAGUGGAGUUAGUACGGGAACACAACACUGACAGGCCAUAGUUAAAAGCUUUUCAAGAUUCUAUGUUUCUACCUCCAUCGCCUUGCCCGUCGUCUUGCCCGUCGUCUCGUCCGUCGCCUUGCCCGUCGUCUUGCCCGUCGCCUUGCCCGUCGUCUCGUCCGUCGCCUUGCCCGUCGUCGUGCCCGUCGCCUUGCCCGUCGCCUUGCCCGUCGCCUCGUCCACCGCCUUGCCCGUCGUCUCGUUCGUCGCCUUGCCCGUCGAAUCGUCCACCGCCUUGCCCGUCGUCUUUUCCGCCGCCCAGCCUUCGCUUCGCCCGUCGCCCAGCCUUCGUCUCGUGACCCGCGCUGUCUUCACUUCGCCCGUCGCCGCCCCGUCUUCGCCUCGUGGUCGCCCCGUCACCGCCUCGUAUUUUUGGUAUCGUUGUAUUUUUUUAUGUGUAAUUGUGUAGUAUUAAUUAACCCGUUGGCUGCCACCCACUUUGAUCCCCUUUUUUUUUAAGCUUGUUAGGGUCCGGCAGCGCUGUUCUGCCCAAUGGUCUAUAUGCCAUGGGUGGGACAGUUGCACAAGCCGUGUGGCUCAAAGUCGAUCGUCGAGGCAAUGCACCAGUAGGGACUUCCCCCUUGUCGAUGUGGUGGUGGUUGCCUGGGGUGUGCAUUCCCAUAACGGCUUCCAUCAUCAUAUCAGCCCGGACUUGUUUUCGGACAAGUCCCCCUUGGUCGCUAUCCUUUCGAUAGCGAUGUAGCUAGUGUAGAUUUAGUGGCGUGGCAGCCAACGGGUUAGUUUUAUUUAUGUAUGUUUAGUAUUGUGUUGUAUUGUAAAAUGUAAAAAUUUUGUGGAGGAUUUGUGGGUGGAUGGAGGGACAAUAAAUACUUUAAUUUAUA